rnacentral:snoRNA from 13 species
AGGGCCGAUGAUGCUGUUCAAUUACCUACAUUGUUUGAUUUUCCUGUGAGAAAACAGCUAUAUCUGAGGCCCCU